rnacentral:misc_RNA from 1 species
CAGGGGAACUCUGACAG